rnacentral:lncRNA from 1 species
CUAGCAGAUUGCAUCCUGUAUAUAAUCUCUGGUAAGAUCUAAGUUUAUUUCUUUUAUUUACCAGGUGUAUUACUCCUGUGGUGCAGUGGUGGAGUCAAUGGAAAGAGGCCUGAUUUUAUCACCAGGUUUUCCAAACAACUACUACCCAGGGACACACUGCGUUUGGCAAUUUUUCAUUCCCAUGAGAACCCAUCUUAUCUUGGAAAUUUUUGACUUUGACAUCUUUGAGAGCUCUAGUGAACCUCAACCCCCCUGGGAAGGCUUUUCAGCCCCCACUAAAACAGGAAAUAAGGACGUACCUUUUCCUGGGGAAAACCUGGACUUGGCUCUCCAUACUACAAAACCCUCUCUCCAGACCUGGAUGUCAAAGGUGGCUCAGAAUCUGAGCACAGGAGAUCAGUCAAAGGACCUUGCUAGUCAUGUGGAUGAACUUCCAGGAUCAGCCUCAAAAAAAGAUGAAGCUAAACAAGCAUCUGAAGAAAACCAGUCAAAGCAGAUGAAGGAACCCAAAGUGAUGACCAAGGCUCAGCCAGAAGAACUGCCACUCCCUGUGGCUGGUAGUGCCACAACACGGAGGCAAAAUACCAGUGGCCUGGAAAGAGAAGAAGAUUUGAAAGGGAAAAUAUUGCUUGCCCACCUUGCUGCUAGUGAGAGAGAUGAAGUUACAGUAGAGACCUGGACUCUUCCCACAACACUAUUGCCUGUGGAAAUCUCCUCCAGCCCACAGUCAGCAGUGGAUGUCUGUCCCCAUGACGUACUAUACGUUUCUGAUCUCAUCACAUUUUCCUCUCGCUUCUGUGGACCAAAUUCACCUUUAAACAAGACCAUGGUCUUUGGUUCAUCUCUGGAAAUGGUUGAGGUUAUCAUGGAACUGAUCACUACCACAGACCGGGGCCGAGGCUUUGCAAUGCUCUUUGAAUACAAGAACAUCACUGAACCUAACACUGUAGAUGCUGUGAGGCAGGAGAGAAAGGAAAACAUGAUGAUGCUGGCAAUUAUAACAGGGACCGUCUUCUUUGCACUUGCUUUGCUCUCUGCCCUCUGCAUAGCUUGGAGGCAGAGAACGUGCCCCAAAAGGAGCUCAUCCAACGCAUGCAGUGACCAGGAGAAUGGGAUCCAGAACUCCGCCGUCGAUAUCAAUGAGCUCCAGCUGGUGGUGCCAAGUCGGGAGAAUGAAAACAACAACCACUCUGUCAGCCGGGAGCAGGCGGUCCCUUCCUGCGGAGGCAGCACAGAACGGUCUCCUCAGGACACUGACCCAGAUGUGCCCUCCUCCAUAUCCGCAGUGACCACCGAGACUGGGAGUGAUGAAGUGUUUAUUAUAUCUGCUGGACCUGGGGCCAGCGGGCUGAGCUUUACCACCUACAGAAUACAGGACAAAAACCUAAAAAGAAGUGUCACAAGCCCAGCCUCUGUGUCUGACUGGCUGACUUCUAAUCACACAGCUGCAGGAGCAGAUGCUGUUGAGAAGGGAAAUGUCCAGCUGGAAAAUCAGUGUCCCAGACAACGCACGUGGAGUGCCCGCACUUUCCAUGACUUCCUGGCUCCAAUACCACAGCUACAGAAAAAAUGGUGUAGCUGGACCACCAACAGUCCCUUCACAAAGCUGGUUGACAGCAGUGGUUUUCCUACAGCUGCAAGAUCCCAAGGUGUCCCAACUAGAAAGGUAAUCUCAGCCACUGAGAUAGAGGGAGCAUCAGAGACCAUUUACUCUGAUUCAUCUGCCAGUAAUGCCUCAUAUCCCCUCACUCUGUCUGCACAAAGGCAGAGGAAGCUAAGUUCCUGCAAUUUGAAGAAAUCCAGGUUUGGGAAUCCUUAUUUUGGAUUUUUAGCCAGUUCCCCUGACAGCAAAAAUGUGAGGUCCCUGGAUCCCUCAAGACAUCUAGGGGCAGCAUCUUCAGUUAACAGCCAAAGCCCCAAAAAUCUUCUAGAGAGCUCCAAUCCACUGAAAAUCAACUUGGUCAAUGGUUCAAAAACAAAAGAGCCCAUGGUAGAAACAGAUAAAAACAAACCGGUUUUUGUUAUUUCGGAAGAAGGGGACGAUCAGCAGCCUCUGGUCCUAGCAGAACAUCUUAAUCAAUGUGGAGAUCAUCUGUCAGAGCAAAAUGCUGUGUAUGCUCCAGCUGUGCCAGAUAAACAGCCAGCGGUUCUGACUGUUGAGGGCAAGAAUUCUGCCAGCUUCACGUCAAAUCUUCCCCUUUGGGCAAAAUCCCCUAGUUUAUACAAAGGUCACGUGAAGGCCCCUAGCUCUUUUAGGGACCAGCAGAGCUCAUCAGCUGUAGAUGCUACUACUACUGAGACCCCUCAGAACUGUGAGACCCUAGCUGCUCCUACGCUAUGCCAAGCUUCAGUCCAGUGAUGCCCUCAGAAAGACUGAAACAUCGGUUCACAAAAACAGAGGCAACAGGGACGUGACCAGAGUGGAAGCUGUGCCAAGUAGAUGAGCGUGGCAGUCAUAGAUGGAUGCAACUCCGUUAAGAGCAGGCUCUGCUUCCCACCCGUUGGGACUGAGAUGACAAGGAUACGUACCAUAGCACAGCACAGAUGCCAUCUUCCCCCUGUGCUCAUUAACCUCAUCUCUAUUCUGCUGCAUGAAAUUUUGAUGUGGUUUAUACAAGCAAGCAUCCUCUGAAAAGGUACUUCAGACUGCAGAAAACCUUUUCUGGAAUGAGGAAUGAAAGUCAUCUGAGAUGGUUACAUCGUGGUUUAUAUCUGAAAUGUAAAUCAGUCCUCUGUUACUGUGGUAUCACUUGAGUCUUUCUGUUGGGAGCUAUGAGUUAAAUUCUGUUUAUAGCUACGCCUGUACAAUCCAAGCCUUGCCAAGCCAAGGGUAAGAAUUCAAUCAUGCAUGUUUGCGUACAGUUUUGUAAACUUAAUUUUAAGCAUUUCAUAACUUCUGCACUCUAGCACAAAGUUUACCAAGCAUUAGCAUCUCUAAUAUUAAAGACCAUGAUUAUCUCAUAUCCUAACUCUUUAGAGAAGUGUACAGACAAGCUGAGCAACUCAAUACUGGAUGCUAGUUCUAUAAAAGUCUCAUGUAGCUUUAUCUUUAUUAGAUCUACAUAGGCUUAAAACACCUCAGUCCACCACAUCUUUAAGUGGCUCCUCAUGGCAACAGAAGCAUGUGUACAAAAACACUGAAAUACUAGGAAUAGCCUUCAGCAUCCAACACUUGGAUACUUGCAGCUGCUCUUAUCCUAUAUCCACCAGCUAUUUAUUGCUGGUAACGCACAUUGACUAGAGAACUAUUUCCCUUCCUUUAGCAGGCAAGACUUAAAAGAUACAAUUAAGUGGGGCAAAAUUUGAGUGCUCACUUUCUUUAGAAACGAACUACUAAGUGGCUGUGCCUCCCUGAUUACAUAUCCAGGGCAUUCAACGGAAUACUGAACCAAAGGGAAGCCUGCUAGUCCUAUUGCCUUUACUAAAUCCAUCAGUAUUUUAAUUGCCUCCUGGUGAUAUUUUCCUAUCUUUGCAAGAGACUCCUGCAUGUUCAUCCCCCAACUUAGCAAAAAAACCCCAACCAACUUUCUUAAAUGAAAUACAUUCCCUAAGAAGCUGUAUUUUGCAGCUGACACAGUACAUUGUUUUAAAGCAAUGUUAUAUCAUAAAACAGGUGUCAGAAGGGAAUCUUCCAUACAAGUCUUCCCCUAUAUUAGCUACAGCAUGCAUCGAGUUAUCUUAAUCCUUCUAUGUGAAGGCAUUUCGGUCUGAUUCCUGAAAUAUUUAGCUGAAUUAUUUAUGAUUUCACCUGCUAUUACAGCUUCCAUUUGCCACUUAUUAAUGUCUAGGAUAGGCAACACAAGGUUGUAGGUUUUGCCUUUAUAUUUUGUGUGUAUGUUUACGUGUCUACGUAGACAUAGAAGCCUUGCAUCUGGUAGUGGUGGAAGCAAAAACAUAUAUGCCCUUUAACAGUUGACUCAAACACGUACAGCAAACAAGUCUCCAUAUUUGUUAUUACCAGACUGGAUUGAGUAGUUCUGAAGCACAGAAGUCUGGCUCCAAGUUGGGGUUUUUUUGUUGUUGUUUUUGCUGUUUUUAAAUUAAUGCUACACGAUUCAAAGGGAAGAGUUAAUAUAUUUAUGAUUUAAGAAAAUAUUUAGAAUAGUCUUUAGUACUCUAAUAACAACUUCCAUUACAUUAAAUUCAUAUACAUUGUAAUUCAGUCAGUGUUCUGUUACUUACUACAUUUCUAAUGAUUGAAGUACUAAAAGUCUACUUCUGAAAAGUACUUGUGUUCAGUUAUUGACAAUAGCUAUAUUUGAAGGGCUGGAAAAAGGGGCUUUUUCAAUAAAAGUGUGUUUAACUAUUCA